ACUACAAGCUCAGCAAAUGAUGCAGCAGCAAUUCAAAGGGGGGUCUAAGGAUAUGAAUAUGAUGAAGAUGGCUCAGCACAAUAAGGAUCAGAAACAUGGUAAGUUCAACACGAUUGAGGAUGAUUUUGAUGAUGAGGAGUUUGAUGAUGACUUUGAUGAUGAUGAUGAUUUUGAUGAUUAUGAUGAAGAGGAUGAUGAGGAGUUCGGUCAUGGGCAUCAUUUGCCUAACAAGAAUAAUGGCAAAGGGCCACAUGGGCCUCAUGGUAUGAUGAUGAUGAACGGGCCUAUGAUGGAUUUUAAGAAAGGAGGUGGCG
rnacentral:lncRNA from 1 species